rnacentral:rRNA from 1 species
UACGUAGGGGGCAAGCGUUGUCCGGAAUCAUUGGGCGUAAAGCGCGUGUAGGCGGCUCGGUAAGUCCGCUCUGAAAGUCCGGGGCUCAACCCCGGGAGGCGGGUGGAUACUGUCGAGCUAGAGUCCGGAAGAGGCGAGUGGAAUUCCUGGUGUAGCGGUGAAAUGCGCAGAUAUCAGGAGGAACACCAAUGGCGAAGGCAGCUCGCUGGGACGGUACUGGACGCUGAGACGCGAAAGCGUGGGGAGCAAACAGG